rnacentral:rRNA from 1 species
UACGUAGGGUCCGAGCGUUGUCCGGAGUUACUGGGCGUAAAGCGCGCGCAGGCGGCGGUAUAAGCAUGGCGUGAAAGCCCCAGGCUCAACCUGGGAGGGUCGUCGUGGACUGUACCGCUUGAGGGCGAUAGGGGCUGGUGGAAUGCCUGGUGUAGUGGUGAAAUGCGUAGAGAUCAGGCGGAACACCAGUGGCGAAGGCGCUCUGCUAGGCCGUAACUGACACUGAGGGACGAAAGCUAGGGGAGCGAAUGGG